GAUCAUGGCUCAGGAUGAACGCUAGCUACAGGCUUAACACAUGCAAGUCGAGGGGAAACGAUAUUGGAAGCUUGCUUCCGAUAGGCGUCGACCGGCGCACGGGUGAGUAACGCGUAUCCAACCUGCCCAUCACUUGGGGAUAACCUUGCGAAAGUAAGACUAAUACCCAAUGACGUCUCUAGAAGACAUCUGAAGGAGAUUAAAGAUUUAUCGGUGAAGGAUGGGCUCGCGUCUGAUUAGAUAGUUGGUGGGGUAAUGGCCUACCAAGUCGACGAUCAGUAGCCGGACUGAGAGGUUGAACGGCCACAUUGGGACUGAGACACGGCCCAGACUCCUACGGGAGGCAGCAGUGGGGAAUAUUGCACAAUGGGCGCAAGCCUGAUGCAGCAACGCCGCGUGGAGGAAGACGGUUUUCGGAUUGUAAACUCCUGUUCUUAGUGAAGAAUAAUGACGGUAGCUAAGGAGCAAGCCACGGCUAACUACGUG
rnacentral:rRNA from 1 species